rnacentral:lncRNA from 1 species
CAUAGUGAGUUUGGGGACCCAAGAUCUUAUUUUCCUUUCUGUCACCCCCACUUGGUUUUGGGCUCCAUGACAGCUGGACCCGGCUUCUGCGUGGACAUAAUUGGAGACACUGGUUAUUUUACCAAAGCUUUGACUGGAAUGAUGUACUUUCGGAUGCAAACAGACUGCUUUAAGGAGUCAAAGCUGACUUAUGAAGUUGGCCUCAUCCCUUGUCUACACACUGUACAGAGUUCCUUGCCUGUAGUAUGUAAAGAGUGUCACUUUCUGACAGGCUCAGGAGCCCCAAAUUAUCUUGGGACCUUAAAGAGAGGACAUUGCCCAAUUUAUAUAGGUAUUUUCAGGCACCAAUAAAUCAUGGCUGGGCUCAAGCCUUUAAAAAAAGUCAAAUCUGGGAUUCCUUAUAGAAUAAAGUUCCAGCAAAGCCAAUUUUAAGACAGGCUUAUAUGGCAAAUAAUUAUUCUUGCUGACAUUAUGCAAACACUCAGGCCAAGUAUAAGACGAACAAUUAUUUUAAAUAAAUUUGUCCUACUAUGAUUUGGCUUCAGUAAAAACAGGUACUGGGCUGGGCAUGGUGGCUCACAGCUGUAAUCCCAGCACACUGGGAGGCCAAGGCAGGCAGAGCGCUUGAGGUCAGGAGUUUGAGACCAGCCUGGCCAACAUGGUGAAACACCAUCUCUACCAAAAAAUACAAAAAUUAGCCAGGUGUGGUGGCAUGUGUUUGUAAUCCCAGCUACGCAGGAGGCUGAGGCAUGAGAAUUGCUUGAACCCGGGAGGUGGAGCUUGCCUGAGUCCUGGUAAGGCACAGACAGAAAGGGUUGUCAGCCAUUUUUUUCUGAGGUUAUAAGAUCUACAACUUCCCCAGUUAUUC